rnacentral:lncRNA from 1 species
UAAGUAUAUGUAUUAGGGGUAGUCGAUAUUUAAUUUUUACUCUAGGAAUAUGUGCCAGAGUAAAAAAUAGGUUCACGAUGAGAUUUGGGUAUUGGCUCAUGAGAUUUGAGUAUUGGCUUAUGAGAUUUGGUUCAUGAAUUUGGAUAUGGUUCAUGAAUUUGAUGUAUGGACUUGGUUCAUGAACUUGGAUAUGGUUCAUAGAUUUGGAGUAUGGACUUGGUUCAUGAACUUGGAUAUGGUUCAUGGAUUUGGUGUAUGGAUUUGGUUCAUGAACUUGGAUAUGGUUCAUAGAUUUGGUGUAUGGACUUGGUUCAUAAACUUGGAUAUGGUUCAUGGAUUUGGUGUACGGACUUGGUUCAUGGUUCAAGAAAUUUGGGUUUAGUUUAACGACUUUUCGGUCGUUUGGAUUUGGGUUUAGCUUAACUACUUUUCGGUCGUUUGAAAUUUGGAUUUAGUUUAACGACUUUUCGGUCAUUUGAAAUUUGGGUUUAGUUUAACGACUUUUCGCUCGUUUGAAAUUUGGGUUUAGUUUAACGACUUUUCGCUCGUUUGAAAUUUUGGUUUAGUUUAACGACUUUUCGGUCGUUUGAAAUUGAGAUGUUCAUGAAACUGAUUCAUGAAAUUAAUUCAUGCUAGGAGCCCGUUUGUAAAGUCCAUUGAAUUAAUUGAUGAAAUUAAUUCAUGAUAGGGGCUAUUUGGAGAGCCCAUUAAUUCAGUUUGGGUUGGAGGUAUUUGGAUGACAUAGUUUUGGUAGAUUUGAUUGGGUUUUAUUUAUGGACUUUGGAUUUUGGAUCUUUGGGUUUUGGAUCUUUAUUUGUGGACUUUGGAUUUUUGGGAUUUUGUUUGUGGGCAUUGGAUUUUUGUUUUUUUUUCGUUUGUGGAUUUUGGAUUUUUGGAUUUAUUUGUGGAUUUUGGGAUUUUUGGGAUUUUAUUUGUGGACUUCGGAAUUUUUGGGACUUUAUUUAUGGACUUUUGAAUUUUUGGAAUUUUAUUUGUGGGCUUUUGGAUUUUUGGGAUUUUAUUCGUAGACUUUGGGUUUUGGAUCUUUGGGUUUUGGGCUAAGAAAU